rnacentral:rRNA from 1 species
GGGUCAGUAGGUUGGUCGUGCCACCGGUACGUACUGGUCUCACUGAUUCCUCCUUCCUGAAGAACCGUAAUGCCAUUAAUUCGGUGUUGCGGGGAACAGGACUGUUACUUUGAAAAAAAUUAGAGUGUUUAAAGCAAGCUAACGCUUGAAUACAUUAGCAUGGAAUAAUGAAAUAGGGCGAUCGAUCCUAUUUUGUUGGUUUCUAGGAUUGACGUA